rnacentral:rRNA from 1 species
AAAUUGACGGGACCCGCACAAGCAGCGGAGCGUGUGGUUUAAUUCGAGGCUACACGAAGAACCUUACCAGGGUUUGACAUGCAAGUGGUAGGAAUCCGAAAGGUGACCCGACCCUUCGGGGAGCUUGCACAGGUGCUGCAUGGCUGUCGUCAGCUCGUGUCGUGAGAUGUUCGGUUAAGUCCGCUAACGAGCGCAACCCUCGUCGUGUGUUAUACGUGUCACACGAUACUGCCGGUAUCAAGCCGGAGGAAGGUGGGGAUGAUGUCAAGUCAGCAUGGCCUUUAUAUCCUGGGCUACACACACGCUACAAUGGCAGAUACAAUAGGUUGCGAAACCGCGAGGUGGAGCCAAUCCUCAAAGUCUGUCUCAGUUCAGAUUGCAGGCUGCAACCCGCCUGCAUGAAGAUGGAGUUGCUAGUAACCGCAGGUCAGCUAUACUGCGGUGAAUACGUUCCCGGGGCUU